GUUUCGAGAGACGCCCUCGCGCCCCGCAGACGGCCCAGUGGAGGGAAGCAGCCUCGGGGGCGGGGGGUGUCACGCACCCGUCAUUGCUCGUUGCCCCGGGCAGCGGUCUCGAGGAGGCGCGUCGGUGUGGACGGAGGGAGCAGCCGAGGAAAACUGAAAUCACCGCAGGGGGCUGCUCUCGCGCGGUGCGACCGGGCAGGGCCCCGGGCUGGCUCUGGGGCUAAGCCUCAGUCUCGAUAGAUGGAAGAAUGGCUAGCAACAAUGACUGGUUUCAAGGUUCCAGAGUACCCAGUUUUGCUCAGAUGCUAAAAAAGAACUUGCCCACUGAACCCCCUCCUCAAGUCCCUCCUCAGCCAUCUCCACACCCCGUGAAUAUGGGCCUGAUGUUUUCACCUUCUGAAAAUUACAACAUGCCAAAUUCCGCACGUAAGGGGACACAAAUCACAGGUCAUGUUUCAGACUUGCUGUGUUCCAAAGCAGCCCAUCCACCUCCAAUCACUUCACUUCUUCCAAAGAAAAUACCAAAGGAGUUUAUACUAAAAUAUAAACGUGGGGAGAUAAACCCAGUAUCUGCCUUGCAUCAGUUUGCGCAAAUGCAGCGUGUGCAACUAGAUUUGAAGGAAACUGUUACAACAGGCAGCAUCUUGGGGGCUUACUUUGCUUUUUGUGCAGUGGUGGAUGGAGUUCAAUAUAAGACAGGAUUGGGGCAAAAUAAAAAGGAGUCUAAAUCAAAUGCAGCAAAACUGGCUCUUGAUGAGCUACUCCAGUUAGAUGAUACAGCACCAAAGGUUUUUGAAAGUUCAGGUCCUCCCCGGAUUCCUGCAGAACCCAUAGUUUCAGCUGAAUCAACGUACAUUUCAAAGAUGCCUUAUGAGAGAAGGCAUCUUGUGUAUGAAAAAUUUUCACGAGCUGUCAGGGAAGCCUUUAAAAGUCUGACUGCCAAAUAUCCAGAGUACCAGAGUUGUAGCAAUUCAUUGGCUGCUUUUAUAAUUGAAAAAGCUGGACAGUAUGAAGUUGUAGCUCUUGGCACAGGAGAAUUCAAUUACAGUCAGUGCAUUCAUCAUGAUGGGAGAGUGUUGCAUGACACUCAUGCUGCUGUUACUGCAAGACGCUCUCUGCUUAGGUAUUUUUACAGGCAGCUUUUGUUAUUCUACAGUAAAAAUCCUAUUAUGAUGGACAAAUCCAUAUUUUGUAUGGAACCAGCAUCAAGCCUACUCAGUCUAAAACAAAAUAUACAUAUUUUUCUCUACAUGAAUCAGUUGCCAAAAGGAUCUGCUCAGAUAAAGUCACAGUUACGUCUCAAUCCAAAUUCUAUAUCUGCAUUUGAAGCUAAUGAAGAGCUUAGUCUCCAUCUUGCUGUGGAAGGCAAGAUUUACCUAACUGUUUAUUGUCCCACUGAAGCUGCUAACAGAGUAAACAGCAUGUCAGCUAGUGACAAAUUAACCAAAUGGGAAGUGCUGGGUGUCCAGGGAGCAUUGCUAAGUCACUUCAUUCAGCCAGUUUACAUCAGCAGUAUACUUGUUGGGGAUGGAAACUGCAGUGAUACAAGAGGACUAGAAAUAGCUAUAAAACAACGUGUUGAUGAUGCACUCACAUCAAAGCUUCCCAUGUUUUACCUGGUCAACAGACCUCAUAUUAGUUUGGUGACUGCUGCACAUCCACAGAUAGACUUGGAGCACAGAUCUCUUAGUGUGAAUUGGUCACAAGGGGAUGCUUCAUUGGAAGUUGUGGAUGGUUUCAAUGGGAAAAUCACUGAAAGUUCACCAUUCAAAAGUGGCACUUCAAUGGCAAGCCGUCUUUGCAAGGCUGCAAUGUUAAAUCGUUUCAGACUGGUCUCCAAGGAAGCGAAAAGAAGCGAUUUGCUUGAAGCUAGCACAUAUCAUGAAGCAAAGAUUAAGUCAGCACCGUACCAGGAAGCUAAACAUUUGCUGAAAAGCUACCUAGAGCAGCAUGGCUAUGGAUCAUGGAUUGUGAAGUCUCCGCAUAUUGAACAGUUCAGCAUGAUCAAAUAGGACAAGAGGAGAGGCCAGCAAUUGACAAUGAAUUUGCGAAAAGAUACCAUCAAACUUAACAUACCACGGGAUGUGUCGUGAAAGGCUACAGGAAAUGUGCUGACCACUAGUACGUACAUAACAUGCAAAAAUAUAUAAAUUUUGCUGCAAGAAUUUUGCUACAGCAGAAGCAGCUGUGGUGAGGAGUUGAGGCAGAUGAAUUUUGUGGCUCAUUGACAUGGAAGAAUAUCAUGUGGAAUAUGCCAGUGGAGCUAUGAACCCUUAUUUGGCCCAAGAGUGGGUGGAGACAGAAGACUCUCCCUCAGACAGCAAAGGAAGAGAAGAUGACUAGAGCAAACAGAAAUACCAAUACUUUUUAAAGAAGCAUUCCACAUCUUUUCACAAGGAUCUAAAUGCUGUUAUAAUUAAGCCUAAAAACACCCCUAUGAAGUAGGUGAUUGAAAAACUAUAGAGGAAUUACUGCAACUGCCACUGGAGUGGAAUAUACAGCUACUUAACAGCACACAGCAACAAGUAACAAAAAGAAGCUAAGUAAAGACCAUGAGGAUUGUAGCCAAAACAGUGCAAAACAAGGUGUAUGUGUGUGAGUUAGUGCGUAGGGGGCAGGGAUUGAUGGAGUGAAUAAAAAUAUGCCCUAUCUGCACAUUGGACAGGAAAAAAAGAGAGAGAAAAGAUCAGCGUUUUAAGCGAACCUUGGAAAAACGAUUGUGUGAUCAGACACCGCACUGCAAGCAAGAACGCCCAUUUGGUAAUGGUAGUUGUGGACAAAAAGCUGAAUGCUGUGGUUUCAGUGACUUAUCGAGACCUUGUGGUUUCUGUGUAGGAGGGCUGUACAAGCUGGACACAUUUGACAUCCUUAUUUCUGAGCUGUGAAAUCUGUACAUCUAACUUAUGAAAAUUACUUCUGCUUUUAUUUUAUUCUUUUAUUUAAUGAAGUCAACGCCAUAUUUUCCUUGCAUUCAGUGGAAACAAAAACAAUGGAAAUGUUUUAGGGUAUGCUAUGAACCUGCUUUGACCUCCAAAAAGAAAAGGAUGAAUAUGUUCAUUUCUAUGAUUAACAGUCAAGAUGCUUUACUUACAGAAGUAAGCUUAAAUAAAAUACUGUAACUAUGUGAUUGGAGAGAAGGGAGCAUUUCUCUGACGUGGAGCUAGAGGAUUAAUUACUAUGCCAUGUCAGUAUCAUGUUUUUAAUCCUUAAUUUUCUACUGUUUGUAGAAUAGUAACAUAGAACCAUGUAAAUAUCUGUAGUUCUUUUAGAGGACUAAAUCUGGUUCUUCAUACCAAAAAUGGAUUACUUGGGGAUGGGGAGGUCUGAAUAGUCUUCCCAUGCUGUGGAGCCGUAGAGAAGUCACUCCUGCACCAUUGUUCUGCUAGUAAUAGAUCCACUGGCGUCAGCCUGUCUCUUCCCCCAGGCCACUCCUCCUCUAGCUGCUAUGUAGAUACAUACCCGGAGCCCUCCAGAGAGCUGAGAUUUGUAGAAUGCAGAGCAUUUGGGCCUGUGUGGGUUCAGCAAAUCCUGUCUCCCCUCAUUGUCCUACAUAGCAGAACCCCACCAAUUGCACCACACCUGGGGCCUUCUGCAGGGGCAAGAUCAGUGCCCAUGCAGCCAAUACAUCAUACUCCAAAACGAAGCAGUAGAAGUGUCAAAUCCUAUGCAUAUGAAAGAGACCGCUCAAAGAUUCCAAACUGACCCACAAUCUUUCUUGGGUAUGUCUACACUACAAAUGCUACAGCAACACAGUACAGCUAUGCUGCUAUACUGUAGACACUAGAGUGAGGGAAGUGGUUUUUCCUGUUCUUUAGUAAAUACACCUGCCUUUUGAGAAGGCUGAUGGAAGAAUUCUUCUGUUGAUGUAGCUGCAUCAACUGUGGUGGUUAGGUUGACCUAACUACAUUGCACAGGCUGUGAAAUUUUUCACAGCCCUGAAUGACAUAGCUCGGUCGACCUAAGUUCUAGGUGUAGACCAGACCCUGGCAAAAUAGAAGAGGAACUAGUACUUCUGUGCAAAACAUCCACUCACCCCAUCUGUGGCAGAAAAAUCCAUCUGAAAGCAUUAAAGACAAUAGAACCCUCUUGCAUGCAUUUUGUGUUAACAAAGACUUAGAGUGUGAUUAUCACUUGAACAAUCAUUUUGGAAAAGAUGGCCAUGAGAUGCUGAUUUUACUAACUCUGAUUUUUGUAUCAAACAUAUGCCUUCGCAAGUAAAAAGAUCAGACAUGUUGAUUUUUAACUACAAAUUUGCUCAAUGAUCUCUGUUUCAGACACGUUCCUUUUCAGGUAAAAAAAUGUGUUUGCUAAGUGCCAAGCUUGCAAAAUCUCUCUUGGAUCUGAAAAUCAAGGGGGUGAUACUGCUUAAUCAACACAACCUGAAUAAAGAGAGUCACGUAAUAGUGGUAAGCAGUUUUGGUAUAUGGUUGGAAAAUAGUAAACUUGCUGUA